GACGAACCGAGCGAACAUUGUUCGAACGACUGGGCUUAAAGGGCGCGUAGGCGGGUUCUCAAGUCCGGGGUGAAAUCCCACAGCUCAACUGUGGAACUGCCUCGGAUACUGGGUGCCUCGAGGGUGGUAGGGGUAUGCGGAACUAUCGGUGGAGCGGUGAAAUGCGUUGAUAUCGAUAGGAACUCCGGUGGCGAAGGCGGCAUACUGGACCACAUCUGACGCUGAGGCGCGAAAGCCAGGGGAGCGAACGGG
rnacentral:rRNA from 1 species